GACGAACGCUGGCGGCGUGCUUAACACAUGCAAGUCGAACGGUAAGGCCCUUCGGGGUACACGAGUGGCGAACGGGUGAGUAACACGUGGGUGAUCUACCCUGCACUUCGGGAUAAGCCUGGGAAACUGGGUCUAAUACCGGAUAGGACCACUGCCUGCAUGGGUGGUGGUGGAAAGCUUUUGCGGUGUGGGAUGGGCCCGCGGCCUAUCAGCUUGUUGGUGGGGUGAUGGCCUACCAAGGCGACGACGGGUAGCCGGCCUGGGAGGGUGACCGGCCACACUGGGACUGAGAUACGGCCCAGACUCCUACGGGAGGCAGCAGUGGGGAAUAUUGCACAAUGGGCGCAAGCCUGAUGCAGCGACGCCGCAUGAGGGAUGACGGCCUUCGGGUUGUAAACCUCUUUCAGCACCGACGAAGCGCAAGUGACGGUAGGUGCAGAAGAAGGACCGGCCAACUACGUGCCAGCAGCCGCAGUAA
rnacentral:rRNA from 1 species